CCUACGGGGGGCAGCAGUGGGGAAUAUUGCGCAAUGGGCGAAAGCCUGACGCAGCAACGCCGCGUGAGGGAUGAAGGCCUUCGGGUUGUAAACCUCUUUUAGCAGGGAAGAAGCGAAAGUGACGGUACCUGCAGAAAAAGCACCGGCUAACUACGUGCCAGCAGCCGCGGUAAUACGUAGGGUGCAAGCGUUAUCCGGAAUUAUUGGGCGUAAAGAGCUCGUAGGCGGUUUGUCGCGUCUGCUGUGAAAAUCUGAGGCUCAACCUCGGACUUGCAGUGGG
rnacentral:rRNA from 1 species